GCGCUCGUAGCUCAACUGGAUAGAGCGUCAGUCUUCGGAACUGAAUGUUGGGAGUUCGACUCUCCCCGAGCGCG
rnacentral:tRNA from 1 species